GUAGGGAAUAUUGGGCAAUGGAUGCAAGUCUGACCCAGCCAUGCCGCGUGGAGGAAGAAGGUCCUCUGGAUUGUAAACUCCUUUUUUGGGGGAAGAAUAGUUCUCUUGCGAGGGAAUGUGACGGUACCCUAAGAAUAAGCCACGGCUAACUACGUGUCAGCAGCCGCGGUAAUACGUAGGUGGCAAGCGUUGUCCGGAUUUAUUGGGUUUAAAGGGUGCGUAGGUGGUUUGAUAAGUCAGUGGUGAAAGCUGGUUGCUCAACAAUCAAGUUGCCAUUGAUACUGUCGGACUUGAGAGAAGUGGAGGUUCAUGGAAUGGAUGGUGUAGCGGUGAAAUGCAUAGAUAUCAUCCAGAACGUCGAUUGCGAAGGCAGUGGGCUGUACUUUAUCUGACACUGAGGCACGAAAGUGUGGGGAUCAAACAGGAUUAGAAACCCCAGUAGUCC
rnacentral:rRNA from 1 species